rnacentral:siRNA from 1 species
CCGUGAGUUCAUGGCAAGCCGA